CCUACGGGAGGCAGCAGCGGGGAAUAUUGCACAAUGGGGGAAACCCUGAUGCAGCGACGCCGCGUGAGUGAAGAAGUAUUUCGGUACGUAAAGCUCUAUCAGCAGGGAAGAAAAAAAGUCCUUUGGACUUUGGACGGUACCUGACUAAGAAGCCCCGGCUAACUACGUGCCAGCAGCCGCGGUAAUACGUAGGGGGCAAGCGUUAUCCGGAUUUACUGGGUGUAAAGGGAGCGUAGACGGCAGCGCAAGUCUGGAGUGAAAUGCCGGGGCUCAACCUCGCUCCGCCGUUGAAACUGGCGUUCUUGAGUGGGCGAGAAGUAUGCGGAAUGCGUGGUGUAGCGGUGAAAUGCAUAGAUAUCACGCAGAACUCCGAUUGCGAAGGCAGCAUACCGGCGCCCAACUGACGCUGAAGCACGAAAGCGUGGGUAUCGAACAGGAUUAGAUACCCCAGUAGUC
rnacentral:rRNA from 1 species